GUUAAGGUUAAGGUUGUAGUUUAGGUUAUAGGUUAAGGUUUUAGGUCAUAGGUUUUGGUUUAGGUGUAGGUUAUAGGUUUAGGUUUAGGUUGAGGUUGAGGAUAAGGUUUUAGGUCAUAGGUUUAGGUUUAGGUUUAGGUAUCGGUUAUAGGUUAAGGUUUUAAGUCAUAGGUUUU